CAGCAGCCGCGGUAAUACGUAGGGUCCGAGCGUUGUCCGGAAUUAUUGGGCGUAAAGGGCUCGUAGGCGGUUUGUUGCGUCGGGAGUGAAAACCCAGGGCUUAACUUUGGGCUUGCUUUCGAUACGGGCAGACUUGAGGCAUUGAGGGGAGAACGGAAUUCCUGGUGUAGCGGUGAAAUGCGCAGAUAUCAGGAGGAACACCGGUGGCGAAGGCGGUUCUCUGGCAAUGUUCUGACGCUGAGGAGCGAAAGUGUGGGGAGCGAACAGGAUUAGAUACCCCCGUAGUCCCUGUCUCUUAUAA
rnacentral:rRNA from 1 species